rnacentral:misc_RNA from 1 species
GAUGAAGAACGCAGCGAACUGCGAUAAGUAAUGUGAAUUGCAGAAUUCAGUGAAUCAUCGAGUCUUUGAACGCACAUUGCGCCCCCUGGCAUUCCGGGGGGCAUGCCUGUCCGAGCGUCAUUGCUGCCCUUCAAGCCCGGCUUGUGUGUUGGGUCAUCGUCCCCCCCGGGGGACGGGCCCGAAAGGCAGCGGCGGCACCGCGUCCGGUCCUCGAGCGUAUGGGGCUUUGUCACCCGCUCGAUUAGGGCCGGCCGGGCGCCAGCCGGCGUCUCCAACCUUCUAUUUUACCAGGUUGACCUCGGAUCAGGUAGGGAUACCCGCUGAACUUAAGCAUAUCAAUAAGCGGAGGA